GAUGAACGCUGGCGGCGUGCUUAACACAUGCAAGUCGAACGAAGCACUUGGAUCUCUUCGGAGUGAUGAGUGACUGAGUGGCGGUCGGGUGAGUAACGCGUGGGUAACCUGCCUCGUACAGGGGGACAACAGUUGGAAACGACUGCUAAUACCGCAUAAGCGCACAGCAUCGCAUGAUGCAGUGGGAAAAGCUGAGGCGGUACGAGAUGGACCCGCGUUGGAUUAGCUAGUUGGUGGGGUAACGGCCUACCAAGGCGACGAUCCAUAGCCGACCUGAGAGGGUGACCGGCCACAUUGGGACUGAGACACGGCCCAAACUCCUACGGGAGGCAGCAGUGGGGAAUAUUGCACAAUGGGCGAAAGCCUGAUGCAGCGACGCCGCGUGAGCGAUGAAGUAUUUCGGUAUGUAAGGCUCUAUCAGCAGGGAAGAAAAUGACGGUACCUGACUAAGAAGCUCCGGCUAAAUACGUGCCAGCAGCCGCCGUAAUAC
rnacentral:rRNA from 1 species